rnacentral:rRNA from 1 species
GUGUACCCGCGGCAAGACGGAAAGACCCCGUGAACCUUUACUAUAGCUUGACACUGAACAUUGAGCCUUGAUGUGUAGGAUAGGUGGGAGGCUUUGAAGUGUGGACGCCAGUCUGCAUGGAGCCGACCUUGAAAUACCACCCUUUAAUGUUUGAUGUUCUAACGUUGACCCGUAAUCCGGGUUGCGGACAGUGUCUGGUGGGUAGUUUGACUGGGGCGGUCUCCUCCUAAAGAGUAACGGAGGAGCACGAAGGUUGGCUAAUCCUGGUCGGACAUCAGGAGGUUAGUGCAAUGGCAUAAGCCAGCUUGACUGCGAGCGUGACGGCGCGAGCAGGUGCGAAAGCAGGUCAUAGUGAUCCGGUGGUUCUGAAUGGAAGGGCCAUCGCUCAACGGAUAAAAGGUACUCCGGGGAUAACAGGCUGAUACCGCCCAAGAGUUCAUAUCGACGGCGGUGUUUGGCACCUCGAUGUCGGCUCAUCACAUCCUGGGGCUGAAGUAGGUCCCAAGGGUAUGGCUGUUCGCCAUUUAAAGUGGUACGCGAGCUGGGUUUAGAACGUCGUGAGACAGUUCGGUCCCUAUCUGCCGUGGGCGCUGGAGAACUGAGGGGGGCUGCUCCUAGUACGAGAGGACCGGAGUGGACGCAUCACUGGUGUUCGGGUUGUCAUGCCAAUGGCACUGCCCGGUAGCUAAAUGCGGAAGAGAUAAGUGCUGAAAGCAUCUAAGCACGAAACUUGCC